UACAGAGGGUGCAAGCGUUGUUCGGAAUUAUUGGGCGUAAAGGGCGCGUAGGCGGUGCGGUAAGUCACCUGUGAAACCUCUGGGCUUAACUCAGAGCCUGCAGGCGAAACUUCCGAGCUCGAGUUCUGGAGAGGAUAGCGGAAUUCUCGGUGUAGAGGUGAAAUUCGUAGAUAUCGAGAGGAACACCGGUGGCGAAGGCGGCUAUCUGGACAGAAACUGACGCUGAGACGCGAAAGCGUGGGGAGCGAACGGG
rnacentral:rRNA from 1 species